AUCUCCUUUCUGACCAUCCACAUGAUUAGAGUCAAACAAAACAGUUUUUUUUCGGUCUCCGAUGUCUUGAACGAGGACAAGACGAAACGUUACAUCCUUAGUACUUUGAUAUUGUUUGUCCAAACCAUGAAGAAGCUCAUAGGAUUCUUUCGGCGAUGAGUUUCUAUUUGAUGAAGAUCCUGAAUGAAAUAAAAAAUGAAGCAUCUAAGAACGCAUUACGCGGUAACUAAUUUCUACAGGU